UACGUAGGGUGCAAGCGUUGUCCGGAAUUAUUGGGCGUAAAGAGCUCGUAGGCGGUCUGUCGCGUCGGCUGUGAAAACCCGGAGCUCAACUCCGGGCCUGCAGUCGAUACGGGCAAACUGGAGUGUUGCAGGGGAGACUGGAAUUCCUGGUGUAGCGGUGAAAUGCGCAGAUAUCAGGAGGAACACCGGUGGCGAAGGCGGGUCUCUGGACAGUUCCUGACGCUGAGGCACGAAGGUCAGGGGAGCAAACGGG
rnacentral:rRNA from 1 species